CACGUAAGCCCCGAGCGUUGUUCGGAAUUAUUGGGCGUAAAGGGCAUGUAGGCGGUAAUGCAAGUCCGGUGUGAAAGGCAGGAGCUCAACUCCUGGACUGCGCUGGAAACUGUAAUACUGGAGUCACUGAGGGGCAUCCGGAAUUCCUGGUGUAGGGGUGAAAUCUGUAGAUAUCAGGAAGAACACCGGUGGCGAAGGCGGGGUGCCAGCAGAUGACUGACGCUGAGGUGCGAAGGUGCGGGGAG
rnacentral:rRNA from 1 species